rnacentral:rRNA from 1 species
CAAAUCGUACCCCAAACCGACACAGGUGGUCAGGUAGAGAAUACCAAGGCGCUUGAGAGAACUCGGGUGAAGGAACUAGGCAAAAUGGUGCCGUAACUUCGGGAGAAGGCACGCUGGUGUGUAGGUGAAGUCCCUGCGGAUGGAGCUGAGACCAGUCGAAGAUACCAGCUGGCUGCAACUGUUUAUUAAAAACACAGCACUGUGCAAACACGAAAGUGGACGUAUACGGUGUGACGCCUGCCCGGUGCCGGAAGGUUAAUUGAUGGGGUUAUCCGUAAGGAGAAGCUCUUGAUCGAAGCCCCGGUAAACGGCGGCCGUAACUAUAACGGUCCUAAGGUAGCGAAAUUCCUUGUCGGGUAAGUUCCGACCUGCACGAAUGGCGUAAUGAUGGCCAGGCUGUCUCCACCCGAGACUCAGUGAAAUUGAACUCGCUGUGAAGAUGCAGUGUACCCGCGGCAAGACGGAAAGACCCCGUGAACCUUUACUAUAGCUUGACACUGAACAUUGAGCCUUGAUGUGUAGGAUAGGUGGGAGGCUUUGAAGCGUGGACGCCAGUCUGCGUGGAGCCAACCUUGAAAUACCACCCUUUAAUGUUUGAUGUUCUAACGUUGGCCCCUGACCGGGGUUGCGGACAGUGUCUGGUGGGUAGUUUGACUGGGGCGGUCUCCUCCCAAAGCGUAACGGAGGAGCACGAAGGUUAGCUAAUCCUGGUCGGACAUCAGGAGGUUAGUGCAAUGGCAUAAGCUAGCUUGACUGCGAGCGUGACGGCGCGAGCAGGUGCGAAAGCAGGUCAUAGUGAUCCGGUGGUUCUGAAUGGAAGGGCCAUCGCUCAACGGAUAAAAGGUACUCCGGGGAUAACAGGCUGAUACCGCCCAAGAGUUCAUAUCGACGGCGGUGUUUGGCACCUCGAUGUCGGCUCAUCACAUCCUGGGGCUGAAGUAGGUCCCAAGGGUAUGGCUGUUCGCCAUUUAAAGUGGUACGCGAGCUGGGUUUAGAACGUCGUGAGACAGUUCGGUCCCUAUCUGCCGUGGGCGCUGGAGAAUUGAGGGGGGCUGCUCCUAGUACGAGAGGACCGGAGUGGACGCAUCACUGGUGUUCGGGUUGUCAUGCCAAUGGCACUGCCCGGUAGCUAAAUGCGGAAGAGAUAAGUGCUGAAAGCAUCUAAGCACGAAACUUGCCCCGAGAUGAGUUCUCCCUGAGACUUUAAGUCUCCUGAAGGAACGUUGAAGACGACGACGUUGAUAGGCCGGGUGUGUAAGCGCAGCGAUGCGUUGAGCUAACCGGUACUAAUGAACCGUGAGGCUUAACCUUACAACGCCGAAG